GAGUUUGAUCAUGGCUCAGAACGAACGCUGGCGGCGUGGAUAAGACAUGCAAGUCGAACGAUUGUUAUCAGGUAGCAAUAUUUGGUAACGAGAGUGGCGCAAGGGUGCGUAACACGUGGGCAAUUUGCCGUGAAGUCUGGGAUAACUUAAUAAAAAACGAGCUAAUACCGGAUGUGAUUUCUGGAGGGCAUCUUCCGGAACUUAAAGUCGGGGACCGCAAGGCCUGACGCUUCUCGAUAAGCCCGCGGCCUAUCAGCUAGUUGGUGGGGUAACGGCUCACCAAGGCUAAGACGGGUAGCUGGUCUGAGAGGACGACCAGCCACACUGGAACUGAGACACGGUCCAGACACCUACGGGUGGCAGCAGUCGAGAAUUUUUCUCAAUGGGCGCAAGCCUGAAGGAGCGACGCCGCGUGGGGGAUGAAUGGCUUCGGCCCGUAAACCCCUGUCAUUUGCGAUCAAACCUUACGACCUAACACGUCGUGAGCUGAUAGUAGCGGAAGAGGAAGGGACGGCUAACUCUGUGCCAGCAGCCGCGGUAAAAGGGCG
rnacentral:rRNA from 1 species